rnacentral:lncRNA from 1 species
GUUGACUGUUUUGCAUAUAUUUUUACUUCUACAAGUUUUCCCAUCUUCCCUCAGUAUGAAGUCAUCGUGACACUUGCAGAUAUAGGAAUCGUCAGUGUUAACACAAAUGUGUUCACAGCCAUGGUUAACUGAUUUGCAAACAUCUUUAUAUUUACAUGUCUUUCCAUCUUCCUUCAGUACGAAAUUUUCAUGACACUUGCACACGUAGGAUUCUCCCGAAUUCACACAAACUUGUUCACAGCCAUGGUUGAUUGAAUUGCAAAUAUCCUUGUUUUUACAGGUUUUCCC